CUGAACAGACAUUUUUCCAAAAGAGGAAAUGCAGGUGGCCAACAGGAACAUGGAAAGUUGCUCAACAUCACCAACAUCAAGGAAAUGCAAAUCAAAACCACAACGAGACACCACCUCACACCCGUCAGAAUGGCCAUCAUCAAAAACAGCAGAAAUGCCAAAUGUUGGCCAGGAUGUGGAGAAGAGGGAACCCUGUACACCGUUGGUGGAAAUCACUUGGAAAUGUGACGCCCCUUCCUUCUAGCCCCCUUGGUUUCUGAUAAGAAGCCUUCUGCCAUUCGAAUUGCUUUCCACUUCUAGAUUAUACAAGCGAUGCAAAUUCUCCGGAAAUUUUGGAAACUAACAUUAUUAGCACACUCAUCAUCCAGAGACAACCAUCAUCGUCACUGAGGUUUAUAUUCUUACAUAAAUACAAACACUUAUAAAAAAUUAA